UUUUUACUGUUUUCGGUUUUGGUUGUGUUUUAUCAAUCAGAACUGGCUUUGGGUUCCUGCCAUGAUGGAGGUAAAAAGAGCUGUGAAACCCAGGUAGUCAAGCAUCUCCUUGAUGCAGAUGGACACCAGAUGGGGUAAGAUAGUACAACCCCUGUCCUUGAUUUUUGCCUGAAUAAAAUUGCUUCCUGAUUACAUGCUGGCUCUGAUAAUCACCAUUUACAUUUUUUCUUAGGCAUUGUAUGGCAAACCUGAACAUAAAUUUCAGUGAGAAAAUAGGCAUAUCUUGGAAUACUGCAGAAGCUAUAUUGUUUUUCCAGGCUCAGGGUUUUCAGAAUAAGAAGAUAAAUUGGAACGAAUGAAGACAUUAUUUUUAUAAACUUAUGGUGCAUGUACAUCUUUGUACUUUUUUUCCCAGGUCCAUGCAAGGUUCUCCACAUAUUUGUUGUAUCAUUAGGGCCCCACAUACAGGACCUCAUUUGUGAAAUGAUGCAACUGCUUUCUUGAAUCUAAAAUUUGGCACAGGAAGAUAAUUUAAAACUUGAGUUUCUGAAGAGGAGCCUCUAAAGCUACCUUGCACACAGGAAAGAAAGAUGACAAAAGAGAGCUCAACCCUCCUAUCCCCUACUGAUGUCAACGUCAUCUCUGAAGAAAGUUUCACCUUCCUUCCAAAGAUGAGCUGCUGAAAUGUAUAGAGAUCUUUCUGGAGUUAAAAUGAACAGCUUUAACUCUGCUCUGAAGAGUCCACUAUUGCCAAAGAGACAGCAGUUCCCUUUCUCUAUCACCACCUCCCUGGAAAUCAACUGGCUGCAAAAACAAAAGGGGCUGAGCCCAUGACACAUCGUGCCAAAGAUCUGGUUGUGUCAUAGCUCAUAUCCGUGACAAACCGAGCCAAGAUUACUGAAGAAGACUUUUUGUGACUUUUUCUAAUCUACAUCUACUUGACUUUGACUUUCCAUGUUUCUAACUAGCUAGCUACACUAACAGCUGUGGAUAUAUCUUCUAGAUAAUUGUGAAUAUCUCUGUGGGCCAUGACUUUUUAAAAUACCAAUGAGUCUGACACUAGGUACCUUCCCCAGGGAGAAGAGAACACCUUGCCUAGGAGCCAUGAAGGCCUGCUCAGAGCAGGGCGAUCCCUGUACUGAGCAGCAUGGUCCAGGCUGUAACAUGCAUACUGAUCACUUGUUUUGGGUAGAUUAAUUUGUAAUUAAAAGUACAAAACAUUAUUAAAGCCAAAUUCCAUAGCCCACCACCCACCCUGAAAAGUUGCAGUUCGCUCUUGAUUUCAUAUAACAAAUUUUGCUGAGUUACCUGAAGACCUCACAACUCCACUUUCCGAUGGCUUCAGAGGGUUUGUUUGGUAAUGGCGCAGUGAUAGCUUUACUGAUUCUGCAGGGUAGUACUGCAAGACUCCAACUCUUUAUAAAAAAACAAGUAAAUCAAAACUCAGUGUACUUCAUGUCAAAGGAAGACUGUAUUUUACUCCUUUCUCUAUGUGUAGGACUCUCCAGAAGUCUAAAAUAAAGAUGCAUAUAAUGACCUUGCAAAUAA